rnacentral:rRNA from 1 species
GUAAGAGCAUUUGGUGGAUGCCUUGGCACAUACAGGCGAUGAAGGACGUGGCACGCUGCGAUAAGCGUUGGGGAGAUGUGAGCAAUCUUUGAUCCAGCGAUUUCCGAAUGGGGGAACCCAUCCUCACCAUUUACUUUUGUUUUGAAGUCUUUCGGGAUGACAAAGUGAGAGUAAAUGGGGAAGGAUAUUACCGAGUUGAAUAAAAUAGACUUGGUGAAGCGAACCCGGCGAACUGAAACAUCUCAGUAACCGGAGGAAAAGACAUCAACCGAGAUUCCGUUAGUAGUGGCGAGCGAACGCGGACCAGGCCAGUGGCAUGAUUAAGUAAAGUGGAACCGUCUGGAAAGUCGGGCCGUAGUGGGUGAUAGCCCCGUACACGUAAUCCUUAGGCAUGUCCUAGAGUAAGGCGGGACACGUGAAAUCCUGUCUGAACGUGGGGGGACCACCCUCCAAGCCUAAGUACUCGUGCAUGACCGAUAGUGAACAAGUACCGUGAGGGAAAGGUGAAAAGUACUCCGAAUAGGAGGGUGAAAUAGUACCUGAAACCAUACGCUUACAAGCGGUCGGAGG